AUGUGGGUCACGCUGCUCUUCUUGGUGCUCUUCCUGCCUCCGACUGUGAUGACCAGAGCGUUGAUUUUCCCUUUCCGUGAUCUUGAGCAGGAUCCGUCAAGGAGGCAUUCGCAGAAUUUGCAACAGCACUUAGCAGAUGCCCUUUCUGCCGAAGGAGAUGAAGAGAAGAUCUCUGAGGAAGCAGAGGCACUAGAAUCCAGAUUUGGACCCCAAUAUCGUGCCCUACAGAACUACAAUGAGGAGCAGCCUUUGAAUGGUAUGGUAGAGCACUCGGCAAGGGAUUAAAUAGGACUUUAAAUCAAACUAAGUAUUAGAAGAAAUAUGUCAAUCCCAAAUUUGAUGAGCAGUAGUGAAAUCAGUAAGAAACCUUGAAUUGAGAGUCUUUGUCAUGCUCUCAUCCUACAACCACAGAACAGGAAAAACACCAGGCAAACCCUGUCUUUGGGGUACACACGUAUUAGCAGGUAGAAACACCAGAGCCAAAGGAUGGUGA
rnacentral:lncRNA from 1 species